GCCACAAGGGGGUCUGAGGAGCAGGCUUAGGAAAGGGCUGCUGAGACCCAGUGCCCGCUGUGGCCCCAGGGCCGUCCCAGACAUGGGCGGCUGGUUCCCAAGAGCAGAGCCACAGGGACCCUGGAGACCGACCCGCUCCUGUCACUGUUCAUUUAGGGGAGAGAGUGUUGGUUGAGAGCGAUUUACGGGACAGGGCAGGUCUGAGGCAGGGGACUUCCUGGGGUGACCUCUGGGGGCCACUCUGGGGGUGCCAGGUCUCCAGGUGUACGGCCUCUGGCCGCACCGCGGCGCGGGUGACAGAAGGAAACCGGGGCUGGCGGGAAUCUGCGUCCCUGUGGCCCAAGUCCUAACUCACUUGUUUCCAUCUCCUGGUGCCCUUGGUCCUACAAUGACUGAGUCAGCCCUGGCUGCCUGGGGACCGUCAGAGGAGAGGGCAUCACCUGGGAGCAUCUGGAUGUUGUUCGAGGCCUCAAACGGGGCGCCGUCCUUCAUCCAGAUCCCCGUUUCUCCUGCCGGGACAGUCCGUGCCAACUACCCUCGGGAGACGGACGGACACCUGGGGGCCCUGUCACCUCACCAAGCCUCAGCGCUUCGUUGGUGACACAGAGGGACAAGCACACCUCCCACCCCCUAGGCUUGUCCAACCAAUCGGGCCUGUGCAAACGCCCAGCCCGUGACAAACGUUCAGCCAAUACAGCUAUGACUAUU